rnacentral:ncRNA from 1 species
CGCAAGAGUAGAAGGGUGCUUGACUGCGAGACAGACACGUCGAGCAGGUACGAAAGUAGGUUCUAGUGAUCCGGUGGUUCUGUAUGGAAGGGCCAUCGCUCAACGGAUAAAAGGUACUCCGGGGAUAACAGGCUGAUACCGCCCAAGAGUUCACAUCGACGGCGGUGUUUGGCACCUCGAUGUCGGCUCAUCACAUCCUGGGGCUGAAGCCGGUCCCAAGGGUAUGGCUGUUCGCCAUUUAAAGUGGUACGCGAGCUGGGUUUAGAACGUCGUGAGACAGUUCGGUCCCUAUCUGCCGUGGGCGUUUGAGAUUUGAGAAGAGUUGCUCCUAGUACGAGAGGACCGGAGUGAACGAACCUCUGGUGUACCGGUUGUGAUGCCAAUUGCAUUGCCGGGUAGCUACGUUCGGACGGGAUAACCGCUGAAAGCAUCUAAGCGGGAAGCCUCCUUCAAGAUGAGAUCUCACUGGGAACUUGAUUCCCCUAAAGGGCCGUUUAAGACUAAGACGUUGAUAGGCUGGGUGUGGAAGCGUUGUGAGGCGUUGAGCUAACCAGUACUAAUUGCCCGUGAGGCUUGACCAU